rnacentral:rRNA from 1 species
AUUGAACGCUGGCGGCAGGCCUAACACAUGCAAGUCGAGCGGAUGAAGGGAGCUUGCUCCUGGAUUCAGCGGCGGACGGAUGAGUAAUGCCUAGGAAUCUGCCUGGUAGUGGGGAUAACGUCCGGAAACGGGCGCUAAUACCGCAUACGUCCUGAGGGAGAAAGUGGGGGAUCUUCGGACCUCACGCUAUCAGAUGAGCCUAGGUCGGAUUAGCUAGUUGGUGGGGUAAAGGCCUACCAAGGCGACGAUCCGUAACUGGUCUGAGAGGAUGAUCAGUCACACUGGAACUGAGACACGGUCCAGACUCCUACGGGAGGCAGCAGUGGGGAAUAUUGGACAAUGGGCGAAAGCCUGAUCCAGCCAUGCCGCGUGUGUGAAGAAGGUCUUCGGAUUGUAAAGCACUUUAAGUUGGGAGGAAGGGCAGUAAGUUAAUACCUUGCUGUUUUGACGUUACCAACAGAAUAAGCACCGGCUAACUUCGUG